CCUAUUCUGACACUGCCUCAAUACACCGUGAGACGACGAGACCUCUAAAACCCUUUAAUUUAAUGAGGCAUCUAAAGCACUUCAAUUUGUGUAUCAACUUAACAAAGUGAUAAUAUAAAGUGCUGUGACAGCUCGGGAGUUAUGUGUGCUCUGAGAGUGUGUUUCAUCACCUUGUAUGACUGAAGACACAUGAACUGCUCGAUGCAGAGGAAGCUUAGCCUAAUGGAUUAUCAUGCCAUGAUGAUGUUUUAAGAAAAGCAUAAGUGGAAGAAGAGGGCAUUAGGAGAGUCUCUCCCUCUUUACAGCGGACUCCUUGAGUUUGCUGUCUGGUGAGUGGGUGAAAUAAACACAUCUCACUCGGGAUGCACCAUAUUGAAUGUCUGCUGAUAUUCGAUAUGCGGAUAUUUGGCCAAUGCCAAUACUGAUAUACACAUCUUUUUUACACCUAUAUUACAACUAACCUAUUGCCCUCAUUGUGAUAAGGCCUAGUUGUUGCAGACACGGACAUUACACUUUUAUUGCCAUUCAUUAUACCCUAAAUGUAUAGCCUACUUUCCCAUCAUAUCACAGUUUCUCAAAACAGAAAAUGUCAGUGGAAUGGUCACAAUUCUACAAACAAAACAGGUUAUUUGAACCCGCAUGUAUGUGCAUGCAGGA